AUGCCGUCCGAGGUUGAAAAUGUGUGCUGCAGGGAGAUACCUCAGGUCAGAAGAAGAUGUGACGAGCUACCUGACCCACCACAGUGUAUGGUGGACCACCCAGGCCUGGAACCUGUCUGUCUGAACCCUUAUUCACUGCAGAACGCACUGAAUAUUUACAGGGCUGAUUAUGGGCCUCUGAGACUCAGAGUAAUGAAAAAUCGUUACAGGUAUUUGGCCUACAGAAGUUUUGUCAGCUGGUGCUGGGGGUUUCUUGGUCGAAGGUUCAGGGUUGUUAUCCCUUCAUGCGUCGUCCUUCGAAUAAGGACAGAGUAUGCAGACACUACCUACGCU